GCUUUUGCUGAUGCAGCUACAUCCCCCAUUGAUUUUCCCAUUGCUCCUGCCUUUGCCAUACCAAAGGUUAUGGUGGCUGCGGGGCUGAAGAAGGAGGACAUUGCCAGGUGGGAGAUCAACGAAGCCUUCAGUGUUGUGAUUCUGGCCAACGUGAAGAUGCUGGACAUCGACCCCAGCAAAGUCAAUGUCAAUGGAGAAGCUGUCUCCCUGGGACACCCCAUUGGGUUAGCAGCAUGGACAGAGAGAGAUAUAGGAUGUCAGGGGUGAGAAUCGUGGGACACAUGGUACAUGCUCUGAAGUCUGGCCAGUACGGCCUGGCUGGGAUCUGCAAUGGUGGUGGUGGAGCCUCCUCUAUCAUCAUCCAGAAGUUAUAGGAAUCUUUAUAUUUUCUCUUUCCCUUAAAUGGGUUAUCAGACAAGCAUAUAAACUGCCUGAACGGAGCUGUUAAACCACUGUUGUAUGUACUGUACAUGGUUUAGAUGACCAUACUGUAUCACUCUAGAAUGUGUCUGAAAUGAAUGACCUCCAUGCGGGCAGCCUUACUGGUCAACUAACGUACUGUACACGUUAACUGAUAU